GCUGACAUUGUUUUUUGAGCUGGUAAUAGUUGGCAUUUCUUCGUGAGGGAGAGCUGGCAAUACUGUUUUUCAUGCCCAAGGAAAGGCUUAGGUAGUCUUACGCUUGACAAAUUAAACGGAUCAAUGAACACUUACUCUGACCUCUGCCGUGUGCAUAACUAAACUCAAUCCUCCCUGUCAUCCCUGCCCUGUUGUGCCGUGUCCUCUGCUGCCCCGCGUCGCCCCGCCAGUGCCCCAUCAGGACGUCAUUGUCUCCAGUCGUGUGGUCCAGUGAGUCACCGCUCUACCGCACGACAGUGACCCCAAGGAAGUCCCGGUCCACAGCAGGGAUGUGGCCACCCCUGGCCACAGCCCCAAGUGUUCCCUGGUGGGCCAUACUCACUGAGCUCCUCCUCCUCCUCCUCCUCCUCACCCGGCUGCCGUGGAAGGAGUCACCACAGCUGUCAGCAGAACAACUUGGAGCGUCCGCCCUUCCUGCCACCAGUGGUCGGAGACUCUCUCUUCACCACACGGUCUGCAUGUCAGCAAGGCACUACAUCGGACUCCACUACAACCUCUACAACCUCCACAACCUCUACGGACUGUCAGAGACGAGUGCCACCAAUGCAUAAGUCUAUGAUGCUCAGAGUUUUAGGUGCAGGGAGGGAUAUGCUGACAGUAAGUUUGUGGUAUGCAUUCAAUAUGGGCACAGUACAUUAGUGAUGUGCUUGUAGUAAGUUUGUGGUGUGCAUUUAGUAUCGUUACAAUGUAUUAAUGAUAUACCCAAGUCAUUGGCAAGAGGAAAUACAGAUGAAGGAAGGCUGUUUUUCUUUCAGAGUUUACCAGCCAAAGGGAUGAAAGAAUGAAGAUGCUGGCUGGCUGACUCCUGCAUAAGGGAUUAGGGCAGCAUAGGGAUGAGCCAGUGUUUAAAAUGAUGGACGGUAGGGGUUGAGGCAUGCAGCUACCGAGUUCAGGAGUGCCCGCCAGUCCUCUUUCUUAUAACAUAUCAAUACUUUCAUUUAGUAUCUAUCAAUAUGGCCAUUACUUGUUGCCAGACCCCUGCAGGGUGUGGGAGCCAGGCGGCCAUUCAUCACUUCCCGCUCGUCCUUCCCCGGCCAGGGCCACUACGGGGGCCACUGGACGGGCCACGUGUGCUCCCACUGCUUCAACAUGUGGCACUCCACCGCAGUUGGUAGGCCUUCUUUAGGGGCCUGGUGGUCGGCCCGAGCCCAUCAUGGAGCAGGGCAGGUGGCGGCUCUGUCCAAACAGACACCCUCACCGAUGCUGAGGAGGCCAUGGCGCAGGUGCUGGACCCUGC